AACGUAGGUGGCAAGCGUUAUCCGGAAUUACUGGGCGUAAAGGGCGCGUAGGCGGGAUGGCAAGUCGGUCGUGAAAUCCCUCGGCUCAACCGAGGAACGUCGAUCGAUACUGCUGUUCUUGAGGAUUGCAGAGGAGACUGGAAUUCCCGGUGUAGCGGUGAAAUGCGCAGAUAUCAGGAGGAACACCGAUGGCGAAGGCAGGUCUCUGGGCCACUACUGACGCUGAGAAGCGAAAGCAUGGGGAGCGAACAGG
rnacentral:rRNA from 1 species